GGAUGGAUCAUUAAUAUAUAUGAGAAAAAUAGAAAAAUUUCCAUUUAUAUAAUAGAUUUUCAAUUAUAUAAAUUGAAAUUUUUUUUAAAAAAUCAAGUGGAAAAAAAGAAGAGUUUUUUUUUGAACUUUUUCUUUCUUUUUAUUUUCUUUUAAUUAGAAAACAAAUCAAUUGAUACCCAUUUUUAUAACUAUAAAACUUUUAAAAAAACCAAUAACAUUUCACAACGGAUGUCUUGGUUGGUGUAACGAUGAAGAACGUAGCGAAGUACGAUAGAUAGUAUGAAACGCAGAAAUCAUGAAUCAUCAAAAUUUUGAAUACAAGCUGUAUAUGUUGGAAUUUAUUUCAAUAUAUGUAAAAGUAUCAAUAAGAUUUUUAUUAUAAAUAAGAAUUGGUUUUCCAUUUGUUUAUUUAUUUAAAUGAAAGGGAAAUUGAUUUUUGAAUUGACGUUUUAAUCAUAUUCUUUUUUUUAAAAAGGAAAAUGGAUUACGUUUAAAUAGAAAAAAACCAUGAAAAAGCGAGAGACAAAUAGAAGGAUUAGAGAAGGAAGGGAUACAAUCGUAUCGAACGAAUGAUAUUCAUAUUCUUUUUUUUCUUUUCCUUUUUAUCUUUUAAAUCUUUUUCUUUUUUAAAUCUCAUCUUUUGAUACUUUUAAGAUUACUCCCUGAAUUGAAGCAUCUUAUUAAGGGAAGGAAAAGAAAAUAACAAUGAUUUCCUUAGUAAUAGCGAGUGAAGAGGAAAGAGAGCCAAAUUUGAAAUCGGCUCGCCUUGAGUGGCGGGCUGAGUUGUAGUUUGAGGACGUGUUGCCUCGGGAGGCGGCCAGACGGCCUAACUGACUUGGAAUAGUCGACCGCAGAGAGUGAAAGUCUCGUGAAGUCGUGCGGGCAGCGCCUCGACGGGUGGCACGUUUAAGAGUCACACUGAUUGGGAUUUCAGUGUCAAUUGUGGGGUACAAUGCCCAUAAGCCUAAAUAUAGACACCAAACCGAUAGCAAACAAGUAGAGUGAUCGAAAGAUGAAAAGAACCCAGAGAUGGGAUUGAAAAGUGCCUGAAAUUGUGAAGUGACAAAAUAUUAUUCAAAAGUGGUGUUUUGCUAUAGGCGUGUAUCAUUCAAGGAUGGCGACGUUGCGGAACGUUCUCAUGGGUGUACAGGCGGAUUCGUUCGCUCACCCGAGGGGACGGUUGAUCCGUGCGUUCCUCUUGUACUUGGUAUGCGUUCAAAGCUGAAUCAUCGGCUGGUUCAAAUUGACCAAGAAGCCGACGAGAAAGGUCCGUGCGCACGCAAGUGUGCUCGGUUAUAGACUCGUCGGGCAAACUGGGUUGAGACCGGUCGAGGAAGGAUAUGGAGAGGUUGCACGCUUGCGUGCGACGAAACGGACGAGUGGAAAGCCCGGUGGCGUACUCCAACGAACGGACGUUCUAUAACGUGCGGACGUUGCGCCUCUGGUUUGACACGCUCGCGUUUUCACUCUCCACAUGGGAUGAUUCGAUUCAUUUUUGACUAAACCUCGUCUUGAAACACGAGCCUAGGAGUUUGACAAUGGAACGAGUCUUUUGGUGGGCAAAACCAAGGGGCGAAAUGAAAGUGAUUGUUGAAGUAUGAUGGCGUGGCGUGCUUGCGCGCUGCGCCUGCAAUAUUGGCCGACCUUGAUAUACUUGGAUAGGUUUGAGUUGAAGUUCCAUUGCCAAGACCCGAAAGACGGCGAACUUUGCAUGUGCAAGCUGAGGCCAAAAGAAAUUUUGGUGGAGGGCUGAUGGGGUUCUGACGUGCAAAUCGAUCCUAUGACAUGUGUAAAGCGGCGAAAGACUAAUCGAGCCGUCUGGUAGCUGGUUUCGGC
rnacentral:misc_RNA from 1 species